rnacentral:rRNA from 1 species
AGCAGCCGCGGUAAUUCCAGCUCCAAUAGCGUAUAUUAAAGUUGUUGCAGUUAAAAAGCUCGUAGUUGAAUUUCGGGAUCAAUAUAUCGGUCAUGCUUAGGUAUGUACUGGUAUUAUUGAUUUCUCCCUUCUGAAGAACCAUGAUGUCAUUAAUUUGGUGUCGUGGGGAAUCAGGACUGUUACUUUGAAAAAAUUAGAGUGUUUAAAGCAGGCAUACGCUUGAAUACAUUAGCAUGGAAUAAUGAAAUAGGACGUUUGAUUCUAUUUUGUUGGUUUCUAGGAUCGACGUAAUGAUUAAUAGGGAUAGUUGGGGGCAUUAGUAUUCAAUUGUCAGAGGUGAAAUUCUUGGAUUUUAUUGAAGACUAACUACUGCGAAAGCAUUUGCCAAGGAUGUUUUCAUUAAUCAAGAACGAAAGUUAGGGGAUCGAAGACGAUCAGAUACCGUCGUAGUCUUAACCAUAAACUAUGCCGACUAGGGGUCGGAUGAUGUUAAUUUUUAAUGA